rnacentral:rRNA from 1 species
GUGUCAGCAGCCGCGGUAAUACGUAGGGUGCAAGCGUUGUUCGGAAUCAUUGGGCGUAAAGCGCGUGUAGGCGGUCAUCUAAGUCGGGUGUGAAAUCCCUGGGCUCAACCGAGGAAGUGCAUCCGAAACUAGAUGGCUGGAAGAUGGUAGAGGAAGGUGGAAUUCCAAGUGUAGAGGUGAAAUUCGUAGAUAUUUGGAGGAAUACCGGUGGCGAAGGCGGCCUUCUGGACCAUUCUUGACGCUGAGACGCGAAAGCGUGGGGAGCAAACAGGAUUAGAUACCCCUGUAGUCC